GGAGACCAUUUCAAAUUCCAUUUACUACUUUACCCUCCAAGUUGCUCUAAAUAAUUGGUAUACUAGAGGCCAUUUGACUCUCUAGUUUUUCACGCGAAGCUUUAUUUGUGAAAAAAAUUCCCCUUCUCCGACGGUGCGGCGCAACCUCUCCUUUAAAGUUGUGUAACAUGAUGUCCACCAACGGAGAAUAUUAACUUCAAGAAGUUUAAGAAUGGAGGCUUCCCUCUACUUGGGGAGAAAGAUAAGUUGUGGAGGGGGGGUGGAAGCUCUCUCACUGGUGAUAACAAUGUUUCUUUAGUAAUGGUAGCAAUGGUAUCGGAUAAUGAUUUCAUCCAAUCAUUUGGAGUUGAUUGCUACACUCCCAAGUUCCGUAGACUCAAAUUAUGACAAAUUGGUUGGUGAGUUCUCCACUAGUUCUUCACCUAUCAAGACAAGCGUUCCCACCCCUGGUUCUACCAACAAUGGAGGAAGCAGGAAGAUGAAGAAAGCCACAGAAGAGCUAAAGAUCCUUGGUUUGAUAAGUUGUGUCAACAAUUGCACUUUACUUAUGAGAAACAAUUCUUUUAUUACGCAACGAAACAUGAAAAUUAUGAUGUGAAGAAAGUUGAACCUGUGCAGCCUGUCCCAAUUGUGCAACCCUGUUCAGGCAGUGAUACUAGUGCAAUCAUAGAUUCCUAUUGAUCCAUCAUAUGAUGUUUCUGUUAAGGCCCUUGUGAACAUGAAUCUUGAUGUGGAAAAUCCUGCACUGUUCUGCAUUAUUAUCUAACCUAGGGGUAAUGCAUUACAUGAAACUCCUAGGUAUAUACGAGAGCAUUCCAAAAUUUCUUAUCGUAUAUGUUUCAAGGAUUGUAUUCGGGCCAGAGAAUAGACAAAGAUAUAUUGGGAGAAAAGGAGUUACAACCCAAAAUGUUUUAGCAGUGUGUGACUUUGAUAUGAUGUACACAUAUGUAUCGGUUGGAUGGGACGGCUCUGCCCAUGAUAGUUACGUUCGCACCAUACAAGGGAGAGAGGUAUCAUGUUGAUGUAUUUCAUAAUGGAGCACACGCAUUAGGACCCCGUGAAGUAUUCAAUAAGGCCCAUGCUCGACUUAGAAAUGUCAUCGAAAGGACAUUUGGGGUUACAAAAAAGAAAUGACAGAUCUUGAAUGCAAUGACUUUCUAUGAUAUAAAGAAUGUCAAUUGUGGGAGAUGCUUCGGUGCCCGACCCCUUUUGUGAAGCUAUGGAUGAUGGAGUUGAUGACUAUUUGGUCAUUGACAAUGCUAAUAUGACUCAGUUUUAUGACAUGUUUGCAAAUCAACUAUCGAGCGC